AUACAUGAGUGUGUGAGUCUGUGUUAAAUAAAAAUGAGACAAAGCCAACGCUGUGUGGAAUUUUCGGGGCAUUUAUAAAGAGAAAGUUAGUCUUAUAGCUGUUUCUGAGAUAUUAGGAAUAUCCUUUCUUCAGAGACGAUGUGAGAUGGUUAAAUAGAGGGAAAUAUUAUAGUUCAAUA